GCACAAGCGGUGGAGCAUGUGGUUAAUUCGACGCAACGCGAAGAACCUUACCUGGGCUUGACAUCCCAAGAAUCCCUGGAAACAGGGAGUGCCCUUCGGGGAGCUUGGAGACAGGUGCUGCAUGGCUGUCGUCAGCUCGUGUCGUGAGAUGUUGGGUUAAGUCCCGCAACGAGCGCAACCCUUGCCUUUAGUUGCCAUCAUUCAGUUGGGCACUCUAGAGGGACUGCCGGUGUCAAACCGGAGGAAGUGGGGAUGACGUCAAGUCCUCAUGGCCUUUAUGCCCAGGGCUACACACGUACUACAAUGGCAGGUACAAAGGGCAGCCACUUAGCGAUAAGGCGCGAAUCCCGUAAAACCUGUCUCAGUCCGGAUUGGAGUCUGCAACUCGACUCCAUGAAGUUGGAAUCGCUAGUAAUCGCAGAUCAGCACGCUGCGGUGAAUACGUUCCCGGGCCUU
rnacentral:rRNA from 1 species